AUGGAGUUCCCGUUCGACGUGGCGGCCGUGCUGGGCGAGCGCGUCUCCGUGGUGGACCAGCACCUGCGGCCCAACGGGCGCCGAGGGCCCGCCCACCGGUACCGAGCCGCGGGCCUAAGCCUCAGGCUCGGGCCUGGGCUAGGCCUGCCCCGGUGCAUGCUGGGAAAAAAAAAGGGGGGGGGGGGGGGAGGGGGGGGGGGGGGGGCGCGGGGCAUGCUGGGAAGGGUGGGGCGAGCCCCGGUGCAUUGUGGGAUGGGUGGAGGCCAACUGGGCUCAUCCCAGUAUCAUCCCAGUACAUACUGGGAAGGAUGGAGGCCCCAUUACCCCUCCCCAGUACAUACUGGGAAUAAUGGAGUCCCAUUGACCUCAUCCCAGUACAUACUGGGAAGGACGGAGGCCAACUGGCCUCAUCCCAGUAUCAUCCCAGUCCAUACUGGGAAGGACAGAGGCCCCAUUACCCCUCCCCAGUACAUACUGGGAAUAAUGGAAGCCCAUUGACCUCAUCCUAGUCCAUACUGGGAAAGAUGGAGGCCAACUGGCCUCAUCCCAGUAUCAUCCCAGUACAUACUGGGAAGGAUGAAGG
rnacentral:lncRNA from 1 species